rnacentral:rRNA from 1 species
AGCAGCCGCGGUAAUUCCAGCUCCAAUAGCGCAUAUUAAAGUUGUUGCAGUUAAAAAGCUCGUAGUUGAAUUUCGGGAUCAAUAUUUCGGUCAUGCCGUUGGUAUGCACUGUUAUCAUUGAUUUCUCACCUUCUAAAGAACCGUAAUGCCAUUAAUUUGGUGUUACGGGGAAUUAGGACUGUUACCUUGAAAAAAUUAGAAUGUUUAAAGCAGGCUUACGCUUGAAUACAUUAGCAUGGAAUAAUGAAAUAGGACGUUUGAUUCUAUUUUGUUGGUUUCUAGGAUUGACGUAAUGAUUAAUAGGGAUAGUUGGGGGCAUUAGUAUUCAAUUGUCAGAGGUGAAAUUCUUGGAUUUAUUGAAGACUAACUACUGCGAAAGCAUUUGCCAAGGAUGUUUUCAUUAAUCAAGAACGAAAGUUAGGGGAUCGAAGACGAUCAGAUACCGUCGUAGUCUUAACCAUAAACUAUGCCGACUAGGAAUCAGACGAUGUAAUUUUUAAUGUACNCGUUUGGCACCUUA